UUCAGUACAGAGGUAAUGCCAAAAGCCUGGAACCAACACAACCUGUGGGUAAUUAACAUUGUUGUUCCCCCUUGUGGCAGCAGUCUCAAAUGGGAUGAUCAAAGAUAUUUUGCUUACAAAUGGAACAUAUCAAAUCAAGCUUUUGUGAACUUGAGGGAAGAAACAAAGAAUAUGAAGCCUAAAUGGAAGUGUCAGGAAAUGGUCACCUUGCGGACAAGGAAACAGCAGCCUAGAAGGCCAGGAGAGGGCAGGCUACCCACCUAACCCUCUGCAGAAUUUUGUGUGGACCCUGGAGACCAGAAACUAACUGCUCCUGCAGAGACAAGGUCUUGCUCUGUCACCCUGGCUGGUAUUGAACUCCUGGCUUCAAGCAAUUCAUCCAUCUCAGCCUCCUGAGUAGCUGGGAUUACAGAAAAAACAUCGAAGCGUAGAUAGUUUUUGCAAGAGGCCCAAGAUCAUACAACAAAUAUGUGCAGAGCCAGGACCUGAACCAGUUGAUAGCUACCAAUGCCUGGCUUUUGCCACUGGGCUCCUUCAGUAUGAGACAUCAGAGGCAGGUACAAGGGAACAGAGGACUCAGAAAAUAAAGCAUGUCCAAGCAUUCUGAAGAAAGAAGGAUCAUGUGAGAAGGAACACAUGAGAAAUUCAAUGUGUUGAUGCAGUAAGAGUAAGAGGUGAAAAGAGG